rnacentral:rRNA from 1 species
AUCAACUUUCGAUGGUAGGAUAGAGGCCUACCAUGGUGGUAACGGGUAACGGGGUGUUAGGGCACGACACCGGAGAGGGAGCCUGAGAAACGGCUACCACAUCCAAGGAUGGCAGCAGGCGCGCAAAUUACCCAAUCCCGACACGGGGAGGUAGUGACAAUAAAUAACAAUACGGGGUUCUUUCGGAUCUCGUAAUUGGAAUGAGUACAAUUUAAAUCUCUUAACGAGGAACAAUUGGAGGGCAAGUCUGGUGCCAGCAGCCGCGGUAAUUCCAGCUCCAAUAGCGUAUAUUAAAGUUGUUGCAGUUAAGAAGCUCGUAGUUGAAUUUCGGAAUCAAUAUGUUGGUCGUGCCUUGGUACGUACUGGCGUCAUUGGUUUCUACCUUCUGAAGAACCUCGAUGUCAUUGAUUUGGUGUCUUGGGGAAUCAGGACUGUUACUUUGAAAAAAUUAGAGUGUUUAAAGCAGGCUCACGCUUGAAUACAUUAGCAUGGAAUAAUGAAAUAGGACGUUUGAUUCUAUUUUGUUGGUUUCUAGGAUCGACGUAAUGAUUAAUAGGGAUAGUUGGGGGCAUUAGUAUUCAAUUGUCAGAGGUGAAAUUCUUGGAUUUAUUGAAGACUAACUACUGCGAAAGCAUUUGCCAAGGAUGUUUUCAUUAAUCAAGAACGAAAGUUAGGGGAUCGAAGACGAUCAGAUACCGUCGUAGUCUUAACCAUAAACUAUGCCGACUAGGGAUCGGAUGAUGUUAAUUUUUUAAUGACUCAUUCGGCGCCUUACGGGAAACCAAAGUGUUUGGGUUC